AUUGAACGCUGGCGGUAUGCUUAACACAUGCAAGUCGAACGGUAACAGGCCUUCGGGCGCUGACGAGUGGCGGACGGGUGAGUAACGCGUAGGAAUCUGCCUCAUAGUGGGGGACAACGUGGGGAAACUCACGCUAAUACCGCAUACGCCCUACGGGGGAAAGCGGGGGAUCUUCGGACCUCGCGCUAUGAGAUGAGCCUGCGUUAGAUUAGCUAGUUGGUAGGGUAAAGGCCUACCAAGGCGACGAUCUAUAGCUGGUCUGAGAGGACGAUCAGCCACACUGGGACUGAGACACGGCCCAGACUCCUACGGGAGGCAGCAGUGGGGAAUAUUGGACAAUGGGCGCAAGCCUGAUCCAGCAAUACCGCGUGUGUGAAGAAGGCCCUAGGGUUGUAAAGCACUUUCAAUUGGGAGGAAAACCUGCCGGUCAAUACCCGGCAGCUUGACAUUACCUUUAGAAGAAGCACCGGCUUUAACCCGUGCC
rnacentral:rRNA from 1 species